rnacentral:rRNA from 1 species
CUACGGGGUGCUGCAGUGGGGAAUAUUGUACAAUGGGCGCAAGCCUGAUGCAGCCAUGCCGCGUGUAUGAAGAAGGCCCUCGGGUUGUAAAGUACUUUCAGCGGGGAGGAAGGGAGUAAAGUUAAUACCUUUGCUCAUUGACGUUACCCGCAGAAGAAGCACCGGCUAACUCCGUGCCAGCAGCCGCGGUAAUACGGAGGGUGCAAGCGUUAAUCGGAAUUACUGGGCGUAAAGCGCACGCAGGCGGUUUGUUAAGUCAGAUGUGAAAUCCCCGGGCUCAACCUGGGAACUGCAUCUGAUACUGGCAAGCUGGAGUCUCGUAGAGGGGGGUAGAAUUCCAGGUGUAGCGGUGAAAUGCGUAGAGAUCUGGAGGAAUACCGGUGGCGAAGGCGGCCCCCUGGACGAAGACUGACGCUCAGGUGCGAAAGCGUGGGGAGCAAACAGGAUUAGAUACCCCCGUAGUC